rnacentral:rRNA from 1 species
AUUGAACGCUGGCGGCAGGCUUAACACAUGCAAGUCGAACGAGUGGCGGACGGGUGAGUAAUGCUUGGGAAUCUGGCUUAUGGAGGGGGAUAACGACGGGAAACUGUCGCUAAUACCGCGUACCAUAGGAUGAGCCCAAGUGGGAUUAGGUAGUUGGUGGGGUAAUGGCCUACCAAGCCGACGAUCUCUAGCUGGUCUGAGAGGAUGACCAGCCCCACCGGGAAUGGGACACGGCCCGGACUCCGUCGGGAGGCAGAAGGGGGGAAUAUUGCGCAAUGGGUGCAACCCUGACGGAGCAACGCCGCGUGAGUGAUGACGGCCUUCGGGUUGUAAAGCUCUGUUAAUCGGGAGACGGUACCGGAAUAGAAAGCAACGGCUAACUACGUGCCAGCAGCCGCGGUAAUUC